CAGGGGCCUUAGACAAAGUAACAAUUUAAAAACGAUAACGAAGUUAGAAAAGUCUAAAAUGUAUGGAGCUGCGUUAAGUCACGUGGUCAAUCGUCAUCGUUAUCGCAAUUUGGUAGACAAUGUAACAUUUCAUAACGAAACCAUAAAGUAACGAAUACGUUAGCGAACGUUAUCGUGUUUAUUCCAUACAAAUGCGUAGACAAGCCGCACUUUCAGUGUUCGUCUUCGCCUCGAUCGUGAUCGUCAUUAAGGAUAACGAAACGAACGCUAAAACGUUGUAGUUAUCGACUAAUAUCGACACAAGAUGGCCGGAUUUCAUUCUACAGCUGAUUUUUGACCUUGGUUAAUGACAUACCCUUGAGUAUUUAUUUUAUGUUAGAAGCAUUACUGCAGGUUAAAUAAAUUAUAAAAUGCAUUCUCUUCGUUUAUUGUGGGCUGUGCACAAUGAGAGCGCCUGGGAGAGGCGUCAAAACCGAUUAAAUCAGCGAUGGCUAUUGGAAACAAUUGGAGAAAUGCCUGAAUUGUUGUUCAUCUAACAUUUCAGACUUAAUAUAAGAGCAUUUAGGAAAUUAUGCAAGGACCUAGAAGCUCAUGCACGAUUAAAGGGUUCUACUGAGAUUCCCCUGGAACUUAAGGUGCUGUGUGCUCUUAGCUUUUUAGCUACUCGCUUGCCGCUGUCUCGAAGGGGGUCGCUCAAACGAGGGUGGUCGGGAGAAACAGCAGACUGCGGUGUCGCUGGCGAUCUCAACCGCGGACCACGCCUGGUGGAUGGAGAAAUAUUAUUUAUAUUAAAUAUUUAUGUAUAAGAUUUUUUAUAAAUACUAAUUCAUCAUUUAUAUAAUAGGUAAUAUUUAUAAAUAAUAAUUCAUAACCAGAUUAACCAAGUUAAAAACUAAUUUAUCAAAAAAUUAAAUGGUGUCUUUCAUGUAAGUGAAGUUACUUGGUUGACUAAUGUUAUUAAGAAUAUUUUAUAAAACA